CCAACAAGUUAGCCAACCUGAGCUAUUAAGAUUCCCUCGUGACAAGUGCGCUGAACUUUAAGAUCGAAGGAUCAAAAUAAGUGAUUGAGUGAGUGUGUGCAUAUUAAAAAUAAGGACAAAUUUUAAUGUCUCAACCAUAAUAGUGUGAAUGGAGUCUGUGGUUCUGAUGCUUAAGUUGAAAAAACAGCAGAAUUAUUCUAGAUACGUACAUUAGUUACUAAAGUUUACUCAAAAGUCAGAGUCGUUUAAUUACUACACACAACAAAGAAGAAGAAUACUUCUUAUGUAGUAGUGAAAUUUUUAAAAGUAUUUGGUGUCACUACAUAACUCUUUUUCCAGUCCUUUAAUUCAACAAAUUCAUACUUUCGUACAAACAAAGAUUUAUGAAGGAAUUGUGCCGGUAGUUUUAGUUAAGAGUUUGAUUCACUAAAAUUCUUGGCGUUAGAACCAGAAAAUUCUUCCGUGCUAACAAUUAAACUGUGCUGCUUUCGUCUAAUCUUUGCCUUUUAACUUCUAUGUUGUUUGUGACCCACAAUAUGAUGCCUUUGAAAUUUUUUAAACAUCUAUACAUUUGAUAAGAAACAUGAAUUUAUGCACCAACAUGAAUACAUAGAUGAGACAAAGGGUUCUUAAUGAAGUUAGUUAAAAGAGUUACCUUAUGAGCAUCAUUCUCUGGCAUUCUGAAACAUCCGCAACCAGGGGAUCGGGCAUUUCUUUUUCACAUCCCAAUUUUUAGGAUACCAUGGGUACUGCCACAUUAAGAAACAUCGUUCUGGAUGAGGUAUCAUCGCGAGAUGUCUUCCAUCUAGGGAACAAAUUGCAGCCACACCCAAGGGGGAACCAUUAGGAUUGAAAGGAUAUACAUCUGUUGGUCUGUCAUUAUCAUCGCAAUACUUCAAGCUGGGGCAUUUCAGUGAAGCCAGGGGUUCUAGAAAAACACUAAGAGAGACUAACUCUUCCUCAGUUGGUUCACCAUAUUGGUUGUUGUUUCCACACGCUAAAGAUGCAAGAUACUCCCUCCGUUCAUCUUUAUUUGACCACUUCUCUAUUUUGGGAUAUUCAAAUUAAGAUGGAUGACUUAACGGCCUAAAUUCAAGUUUGAAGCAAAGGAGGGUUCAUAAAUCAUAGAAACGGAGUUUUGGGGAUGAAAAUUAACUAUGGGGAUCUCAACGCAACUUGACAGCAUCUAGGAGAUUGUUGACAGGAACGAAAUGAAAGGUUGUUCUACAAUCUUCUUAUUGAUAAUGUGGAAGAGUUACUUCCAACUGUCUAUACUUCAACUGUUGGGGGAGGAUCCUUGAGGUAUUGAAUAAUUGGCCUGAAAGAUCAAUCCAUGUCAUCAUCGUGACUGAUGGAGAAAGAAUUCUGGGACUUGGGGACCUUGGUUGCCAGGUGAUGAUGCCCUCAAUUGAUAUAAAAGUCCAUUUCCUCCUUCGCACUAUGUAUUACUCAACUGGCAUUCAUUUUAACACUACUUUACUUCCACAGAUUUCGCCAUUUCAACCACAUCUCACUCUUUUUUUCUCAAUUUCAUCCAUGUCAUAUGAGUAUUCAUUGUUUAAUUGCAAAAUUGAUGAUUUUGCUGUUCAGGUUGUCUUUGUGAGAGUUGGAUACGAUAAAUUUCUUGGUCAUUGUCACACUCUUCCGCGCUUCACUGUUGUUAAUUUUCAAUUUGCAUUUUUCCAAUCUUGGGUUAUCUAUUUUAAUUUUGGGUUUAAAUUUGUAUAUUCUGCUAUGGCUUCUGUGAGGAUAGUUUGAUUCAUUUUCAUUUUUCCAUGAAUGCUUUGGUUGAUUUUCGCUUUUCCACCAAUUUAUUUCUACUUAUUUUUAUUUGGGGGGUUUACAGAUGAAUGAGAGGAAUGAAUUGAAGUUGCAGGUGAAGCGUUUGUUGAACGUACUAAGCAAGCCUUGGUUUGGCUGAACAGAAACCAUAAAUGGGUUUAACGUAUGCACCCCAGACCUCACUUAUAGGAGAUUGCAUGCUAAGUAUGUUAUUAUUGUUUAAUCGAAGUCUCAUGAGAAAUAGAGGCGAUAUCAACUGCUUUGAAGUUAAACUAAGUUUUGAAACUGAGAGUCAACAAGUUUGUCGAUGUUUCACUCCAAGAUUACUGAUAGUGAAAUAGAGGCGAUAUCAACUGCUUUGAAGUUAAACUAAGUUUUGAAACUGAGAGUCAACAAGUUUGUCGAUGUUUCACUCCAAGAUUACUGAUAGUGAUAACUUAUAAGGAUAUCAUAUUACAUUUUUAAUCAACUCAAAGUAUAUCAACUACUGACAACAACUACAAAUAUUAACUCUACAAUAUUUGUUGAAUUUGUUGAAGUGUACUUCUUGGAUUCUGUGUACCAACUUUCAUUUUUACUUGCAAAGUGAAUUACAUAGCUUACAGUUAUAUGAUAUAGUUAUCUUCUGGUAGUCAAAGCAAUUCCAAUAUUUUGAACUGUUUGAGUGAUAUAUGUGCAAAUAAUGUAAUUUCUAUGAAAAUUGCACUUAAAAUGGCUUAAAAGAUUAUAGCGCAUGAAAAGUUUGCAACAAAGAAGAUAAUCCAAUUGGAGCUGCUAUACAGAGAAUUCUUUAACGAUAGGUAGAGCUACUAUAACUAUUUGAUCUUAUCGUGAAGAAUCGUGCCAUGUAAGUAUGAUAAAAUAUGCUUUUUGCUUAUCGAAUAAUCAACUAUUUUCAAAUUGUUACAGGUAAUGUUGGUGGAAUCUCAUUCUCUAUAUUGAUUUGCAAAAUAAGACAAUGCAAAUGACGCAUGAGAGUAUUGACAAGGCUUUAGAGAAGACAUCUGAAUAUGACCAUUUUUUUGGGAGUAUACACAAUUGCUAUGGCAUAUAACAUGAAGUCACCAAGCUCCGGUAGUUCACCUCCAGUUCAGUAAAAUUUUGAUAUCGGUUAUUCCUCACAUAAAUGAAGUAAACAAGGAGAAGAGUUCUCGAUGAUAACCCUAUCUAAAGCAGUUUUUUACCAACACUUGCCCAAAUAUGAAAGUGGUGCAUUUACAGGAAUUGUCGUUAAAGAUUUGAUCGGAACACAUCGAAUUGAAAGUCUAACUCCAACCUCUUUAGAAGGAGCUCCAAUAAAGAUACAACAUUGCAAGUUUGUAAUAAUUCCUAAAAGUUCAAUUAUAUAGAAAAAGAUUAUCUCUUUCC